GACGAACCAUCCAAACGUUAUUCGGAAUCACUGGGCUUAAAGGGUGCGUAGGCGGCGUGGUAAGUUGGGUGUGAAAUCCCUCAGCUCAACUGAGGAAUUGCGCCCAAUACUGCCAUGCUCGAGGAAGACAUAGGUGAGCGGAACUUAGGGUGGAGCGGUGAAAUGCGUUGAUAUCCUAAGGAACACCAGUAGCGAAAGCGGCUCACUGGGUCUUAUCUGACGCUGAUGCACGAAAGCUAGGGGAGCGAACGGG
rnacentral:rRNA from 1 species